rnacentral:rRNA from 1 species
CACGUAGUUAGCCGGGGCUUCUUAGUCAGGUACCGUCAUUAUCUUCCCUGCUGAUAGAGCUUUACAUACCGAAAUACUUCUUCACUCACGCGGCGUCGCUGCAUCAGGGUUUCCCCCAUUGUGCAAUAUUCCCCACUGCUGCCUCCCGUAGGAGCCUGGGCCGUGUCUCAGUCCCAAUGUGGCCGUUCGCUCUCUCAAGCCGGCUACUGAUCGUCGCCUUGGUAGGCCGUUACCCCACCAACAAGCUAAUCAGACGCGGGUCCAUCUCACAGCGAUAAAUCUUUGAAAGGAUCGUCAUGCGGCAAUCCCUUGUUAUGCGGUAUUAGCAGCCGUUUCCGGCUGUUCGUCCCCCUCUGUGAGGCAGGUUACCCACGCGUUACUCACCCGUCCGCCACUCAGUCAUUACCAUCUUCCCUACCGAAAAGUUCCGUCGGUAGCGCUUCGUUCGACUUUGCAUGUGUUAGCACGCCGCCAGCGUUCAUCCUGAGCCAGGACUCAAACUU